rnacentral:tRNA from 1 species
GGGCCAGUAGCUCAGUCGGUUAGAGUACAUCCCUGAUAAGGAUGGGGUCGGUGGUUCGAAUCCACCCUGGCCCACCA